GGUUAAGCGACUAAGCGUACACGGUGGAUGCCCGGCAGUCAGAGGCGAUGAAGGACGUGCUAAUCUGCGAAAAGCGUCGGUAAGGUGAUAUGAACCGUUAUAACCGGCGAUGUCCGAAUGGGGAAACCCAGUGUGAUUCGUCACACUAUCGUUAACUGAAUACAUAGGUUAACGAGGCGAACCGGGGAACUGAAACAUCUAAGUACCCCGAGGAAAAGAAAUCAACCGAGAUUCCCCAGUAGCGGCGAGCGAACGGGGAGCAGCCCAGAGUCUGAAUCAGCUUGUGUGUUAGUGGAACGGUCUGGAAAGUCCGACGGUACAGGGUGAUAGUCCCGUACACCAAAAUGCACAGGUUGUGAACUCGAAGAGUAGGGCGGGACACGUGGUAUCCUGUCUGAAUAUGGGGACCAUCCUCCAAGGCUAAAUACUCCUGACUGACCGAUAGUGAACCAGUACCGUGAGGAAAGGCGAAAAGAACCCCGGCGAGGAGUGAAAAGAACCUGAAACCGUGUACGUACAAGCAGUGGGAGCACCUUCGGGUGUGACUGCGUACCUUUGUAUAAUGGGUCAGCGACUUAUAUUCUGUAGCAAGGUUAACCGUAUAGGGAGCCGCAGGAAACCGAGUCUUAACUGGGCGUUAAGUUGCAGGGUAUAGACCCGAAACCCGGUGAUCUAGCCAUGGGCAGGUUGAAGGUUGGGUAACACUAACUGGAGGACCGAACCGACUAAUGUUGAAAAAUUAGCGGAUGACUUGUGGCUGGGGUGAAAGGCCAAUCAAACCGGGAGAUAGCUGGUUCUCCCCGAAAGCUAUUUAGGUAGCGCCUCGUGAACUCAUCUUCGGGGUAGAGCACUGUUUCGGCUAGGGGUCAUCCCGACUUACCAACCCGAUGCAAACUACGAAUACCGAAGAAUGUUAUCACGGGAGACACACGGCGGGUGCUAACGUCCGUCGUGAAGAGGAAACAACCCAGACCGCCAGCUAAGGUCCCAAAGUCAUGGUUAAGUGGGAAACGAUGUGGGAAGGCACAGACAGCGGGAUGUUGGCUUAGAAGCAGCCAUCAUUUAAAGAAAGCGUAAUAGCUCACUGGUCGAGUCGGCCUGCGCGGAAGAUGUAACGGGCUAAACCAUGCACCGAAGCUGCGGCAGCGACACUAUGUGUUGUUGGGUAGGGAGCGUUCUGUAAGCCUGCGAAGGUGACCUGUGAGGGUUGCUGGAGGUAUCAGAAGUGCGAAUGCUGACAUAAGUAACGAUAAAGCGGGUGAAAAGCCCGCUCGCCGGAAGACCAAGGGUUCCUGUCCAACGUUAAUCGGGGCAGGGUGAGUCGACCCUAAGGCGAGGCCGAAAGGCGUAGUCGAUGGGAAACAGGUUAAUAUUCCUGUACUUGGUGUUACUGCGAAGGGGACGGAGAAGGCUAUGUUAGCCGGGCGACGGUUGUCCCGGUUUAAGCAUGUAGGCUGGUUGUGCAAAUCCGGAUAAUCAAGGCUGAGGUGUGAUGACGAGGCACUACGGUGCUGAAGUAACAAAUGCCCUGCUUCGGGAAAAGCCUCUAAGCAUCAGGUAACAUCAAAUCGUACCCCAAACCGACACAGGUGGUCAGGUAGAGAAUACCAAGGCGCUUGAGAGAACUCGGGUGAAGGAACUAGGCAAAAUGGUGCCGUAACUUCGGGAGAAGGCACGCUGGUGUGUAGGUGAAGUCCCUGCGGAUGGAGCUGAGACCAGUCGAAGAUACCAGCUGGCUGCAACUGUUUAUUAAAACACAGCACUGUGCAAACACGAAAGUGGACGUAUACGGUGUGACGCCUGCCCGGUGCCGGAAGGUUAAUUGAUGGGGUUAUCCGUAAGGAGAAGCUCUUGAUCCCCGGUAAACGGCGGCCGUAACUAUAACGGUCCUAAGGUAGCGAAAUUCCUUGUCGGGUAAGUUCCGACCUGCACGAAUGGCGUAAUGAUGGCGGGCUGUCUCCACCCGAGACUCAGUGAAAUUGAACUCGCUGUGAAGAUGCAGUGUACCCGCGGCAAGACGGAAAGACCCCGUGAACCUUUACUAUAGCUUGACACUGAACAUUGAGCCUUGAUGUGUAGGAUAGGUGGGAGGCUUUGAAGCGUGGACGCCAGUCUGCGUGGAGCCAACCUUGAAAUACCACCCUUUAAUGUUUGAUGUUCUAACGUUGGCCCCUUACCGGGGUUGCGGACAGUGUCUGGUGGGUAGUUUGACUGGGGCGGUCUCCUCCCAAAGCGUAACGGAGGAGCACGAAGGUUAGCUAAUCGGUCGGACAUCAGGAGGUUAGUGCAAUGGCAUAAGCUAGCUUGACUGCGAGCGUGACGGCGCGAGCAGGUGCGAAAGCAGGUCAUAGUGAUCCGGUGGUUCUGAAUGGAAGGGCCAUCGCUCAACGGAUAAAAGGUACUCCGGGGAUAACAGGCUGAUACCGCCCAAGAGUUCAUAUCGACGGCGGUGUUUGGCACCUCGAUGUCGGCUCAUCACAUCCGGGGCUGAAGUAGGUCCCAAGGGUAUGGCUGUUCGCCAUUUAAAGUGGUACGCGAGCUGGGUUUAGAACGUCGUGAGACAGUUCGGUCCCUAUCUGCCGUGGGCGCUGGAGAAUUGAGGGGCUGCUCCUAGUACGAGAGGACCGGAGUGGACGCAUCACUGGUGUUCGGGUUGUCAUGCCAAUGGCACUGCCCGGUAGCUAAAUGCGGAAGAGAUAAGUGCUGAAAGCAUCUAAGCACGAAACUUGCCCCGAGAUGAGUUCUCCUGAGACUAUAAGUCUCCUGAAGGAACGUUAAAGACGAUGACGUUGAUAGGCCGGGUGUGUAAGCGCAGCGAUGCGUUGAGCUAACCGGUACUAAUGAACCGUGAGGCUUAACCUU
rnacentral:rRNA from 1 species